rnacentral:rRNA from 1 species
UACGUAGGGUGCGAGCGUUGUCCGGAAUUAUUGGGCGUAAAGGGUGCGCAGGCGGUUAUAUAAGACAGAUGUGAAAUCCCCGGGCUCAACCUGGGAACUGCGUUUGUGACUGUAUGACUAGAGUACGGUAGAGAGGGGUGGAAUUCCUGGUGUAGCAGUGAAAUGCGUAGAUAUCAGGAGGAACAUCGAUGGCGAAGGCAGCCCCUUGGACCUGUACUGACGCUCAUGCACGAAAGCGUGGGGAGCAAACAGG